CCGCCGCAUGUACACGUCUCUGCUUUUCUUAAGAAGAGAAGCAAAACUUUCAUCUGCCUUUGGAUUAAUUUUUUGGAAGCUUAGAAGCUGGGACAACGUCAAGAGAAUCCUUGAGGGAUGGCCCUGAACCAAGAUGGGAUGAGGACCUAGAACGCGCCCAUGGCAACUCUGAACAUGAAGUGGCAAGUGUGGUUCUGAAACACUCCCAGGAACCAACUGACUGAUGGGAUAUGGACGCUGAGUGAAGAGCAAGGAAAGGCAUGAAGACGGGACAGCCCAGAGUGAGUGAGUGAUUCUGACAGAAAAGAAAGCAGAAGCUUCUUUUCAAAAAAACCGUGUCUGCUAUGUUCCUGACUUUGAGCUACACCAGAGGCAUGGCCCAUGUGGAAGUGGUGUAGACAGCACACUUGUCUACUCA